GAUGGGGUCAGUUCUCUACUUAUUUGUAAGGUUCUUAGCAGUGUGACGGGGUCAGUUCUCUACUUAUUUGUAAGGUUCUUAGCAGUGUGACGGGGGUCACUUCUCUACUUAUUUGUAAGGUUCUUAGCAGUGUGACGGGGGUCAGUUCUCUACUUAUUUGUAAGGUUCUUAGCAGUGUGAUGGGGGUCAGUUCUCUACUUAUUUGUAAGGUUCUUAGCAGUGUGACGGGGGUCAGUUCUCUACUUAUUUGUAAGGUUCUUAGCAGUGUGAUGGGGUCAGUUCUCUACUUAUUUGUAAGGUUCUUAGCAGUGUGACGGGGGUCAGUUCUCUACUUAUUUGUAAGGUUCUUAGCAGUGUGAUGGGGG
ensembl:lncRNA